CACGGCUCCCUGGAAGACAUGCUGGGUCCCGGGGGUGACCGGGUGAAGCGCCACUCAACGGAGAGGCCAAGAAUUCUGGCCUGCAGGCCGUAGACUCGGUAGAUGCUACAUUGACCUUCAACUCAUCAACACACCCCUGUGAGGAAGGUACUGCAGCCCAGCACACAUCCAUACCUGCUAAAGACCUGGGGAGUCGCCUUCUGUAACAACAGGACCAGGAGGAAUUUUUGUAUCUCUCUUGUAUCUCCCUCCCCGGGCCUGGGAGACGCAUCGCCAGCAUCCUUCGAUGACACC